CCUACGGGAGGCAGCAGUGGGGGAUAUUGCACAAUGGAGGAAACUCUGAUGCAGCGACGCCGCGUGAGGGAAGACGGUCUUCGGAUUGUAAACCUCUGUCUUUGGGGAAGAAAAUGACGGUACCCAAAGAGGAAGCCUUGCUUAACUACGUGCCAGCAGCCGCGGUAAUACGUAGGGAGGGACGGGUGUCCGGAAUUACGGGGUGUAAGGGGAGCGUAGGGGGGGGAGAAAGUUGAAUGUUAAAUCUACCGGCUUAACUGGUAGCUGCGUUCAAACGUUCUUGUCGUGAGUGAAGUAGAGGCAGGCGGAAUUCCUAGUGUAGCGGUGAAAUGCGGAGAUAUUAGGAGGAACACCAGGGGCGAAGGCGGCCUGCUGGGCUUUAACUGACGCUGAGGCUCGAAAGCGUGGGGAGCAAACAGGAUUAGAUACCCCAGUAGUC
rnacentral:rRNA from 1 species